AGUAAGAUGAAGAUUGUUGAAGUAAUUAUUUAUUAGGGACUUUUUUUAAAAAUUUGUAUGAAAUAAUGUUUAAACGAUAGAUUAGUGUACUGUUAUGGAACUUUGAAAAAUUUAUAGUUUUUUUAAAAAAAGUUGAAUAUAUUUGUACCUUUUGUAUUAGGGUUUAAUUAAAAUUAGUAAAGACUUUAUUUAUCCCGAAUUAUUUGGAGCUACCCAAUGAAUUUUUUAAACGUUUUAUGGUUUAGAUGAAGUUUUGGUAGAAAUGAAAUUUUAUUCGAAAAAUAUGAUAUCUGGUUAAAUGAUGAAAAACUAUACGUUUUUAUAUAAUUUAUGUUUAAUUUAAUAAAUUUAUAUUUUUUAUUUUUUGGGAUAAGCUUUAAAAUUUUAUAUAAAAUUUUAAAGAUAUAAUAAGAGGUUUAAAAUUUACUUUUUUGUAAUAAAAAAAUUAAUUUAAAUGGUGGAUUUAUUUUUUUUUUCUUUAUUUAAUAAAGAUUAAGGGUGUUAAUGUUAAAAUUAGUAUAAUUUUUGUUAGUUUUUAUAAUUGAACUAAAUUUAACUAUUUUUUAAAAGUUUAGUAACUCGGCAAAUUUUAGCUUCGAAUGUUUAUCAAAAACAUAGUAUUUUGAUGUUAAUGAAAUAUAAAACCUGCUCAAUGUUUUAUAAAUUGCUGUGGUAUUUUGACUAUGCAAAGGUAUUGAAAUAAGGUCUUUAAUGGAUGCUAAGAGAAUGGUUUAACGGGGGUUAACUUUCUUAACUUUUAUAUUAGAAGUUAAUUUAAAAAUGAAAAAGUUUUUAUAAAAUUUUGGGACAAGAAGACCCUAUGAAUUUUUUUAAAAAAUAUAUUUUUAGCUAUGUUUAAUAAUGGAGAAGUUGUUUUUUAAUUGAUUGGGGUGGUUUUUAAAGAUUCAGAAUCUUUAAAAAGAUUAAAUUGAUCCAUUAAUAAUGAUUGGUUGAAUAAAAUACUCUAGGGAUAACAGCGUUAUUAUUUUGGAUAGUUCAUAUAGAUAAAAUAGAUUGCGACCUCGAUGUUGGAUUAAGAUACUUUUAUAAUGAAGAAGUUAUAAUAAGAAGUUUGCUCAACUUUUAAAUUCUUACAUGAUCUGAGUUCAGACCGGCGUAAGCCAGGUUGGUUUCUAUCUAGAUUUUAAAGUUAUUUUCAUAGUACGAAAGGAAUUGAUUUAUAUAAAUUUUUUAUUAAAGUUUUUAAUUUAGAGUGUA
rnacentral:rRNA from 1 species